GAUGAAGAACGCAGCGAAAUGCGAUAAGUAAUGUGAAUUGCAGAAUUCAGUGAAUCAUCGAGUCUUUGAACGCACAUUGCGCCCCUUGGUAUUCCGGGGGGCAUGCCUGUCCGAGCGUCAUUGCUGCCCUCAAGCACGGCUUGUGUGUUGGGCCCCCGUCCCCGGUUCUCCCCGGGGACGGGCCCGAAAGGCAGCGGCGGCACCGCGUCCGAUCCUCGAGCGUAUGGGGCUUUGUCACCCGCUCUGUAGGCCCGGCCGGCGCCAGCCGACACCCCAACUUUAUUUUCUAAGGUUGACCUCGGAUCAGGUAGGGAUACCCGCUGAACUUAAGCAUAUCAAUAAGCGGAGGA
rnacentral:misc_RNA from 1 species